CCUUGGACACUAGAGACGGGUUGUGGAAUUGAGGCUAGAGACUCUCCCACCGUUGGAUGAGGUCUAGAAAUCAAAGUGGAAAUCUCAUGGGGCAAAGAAGGCUGUGAGGCAGAGAGAGGCCUCACUUCUCUUGUCAGGGUCUGAUCCUGGAAGGUACUUGUGGGAGUUCAAAGUGUCCAGCAUCUUGCAGGAGUCACAGAUUUUAAAGCGAGAAGGAACCACUGUGAUGAUCUAGUCUGAUCUCCAUCAUAACAAAGGCCAAAUAACUUCUGUAUUAAGCCCACAACCACUAGUUGAACUAGAGCAUAACUUUGAGAAACAAACCCAAUCUUGAUUUAAAGAUUUCAAGUGGCGGAGACUCUACCUCAUCACUUUGUCUUUCACUUGGACAUCUUAGACCUGAUUUUCUGAACAUCAGCAGAUUCCAGCGAUUUCAAUUCAAGUUGCAGAUGCUCAGCACCUUUGGAAAUCAAAUCCAUAGCAACCAGCUUGUGAGGUAAAAGACUAAGACCCGCUGAACAUCGAAGGAAUGGAGUCUUCAUUUUUCUGCAGAUGCAUGCAGUUUUGGGAAGAAUACUGGAUGAAGUCGAAGCUACGGACACUGGAGGUUCCCACCCGGACCAUGCGGCGGUGAGAAAGAACUUGAGAGGCGGUUGGUCUGCCCCACCCGCACUGAUGCACGGACCAACAGGCACUACUUUCAAAUGCUCCGGCUCCAGGUGCAUGGUGCUCACACGCGACCCACAGUGGAAUACAAUAGGGACCAUCACUCAAAGAAGAACUUAGGACUUUGCAGAGGUAUACAUAUAGUUAUUGACUCAGCACCACUGAAAUCAGUGGGACUUUUAGUAUUGAUUUUAGCGGGAAGAUGAUCAUGGCCGUAGUUAAUUGUAUCAACAUGCCACCUUUGAUGUUAACAUUUUUUGCCAUUUUCUGCCCAAUGCCCUUACAGAAAAUUAUUGUGAAUGUGGUGGCAAGCCAACUCCAGCAUCAUGCAUAGGAGCCAUUGCUUAAAACCAGUGAAUAAAAGUUAAUGCCCUUUGGUGAAUGAGGAGGGAGAUAGACUAGAUGCCAUAACAGGGCUUUUCUAUCUCCAGUUGUAUGGUCCUAUGAAAAAGUGUGGCACCAUUCUCUUUUCAAGAAGCAGUAAAGCCUAGCGGACACAGUGGCACCUAUCCAGUUAUUGUCACUUCAUUUCCUAUAUAAAUUACACUCAGAAUAUAAUUACUCAACUUGCAAUGUCACAUUAACAUUUGAUUAGAGAUUGAAAAUAAAGUCAAAUUAGCAACAUAACAGUGUGCAGUUGCCUUGAAGCAAUAAUUUGGUGACAAAGAGAUGAAUUAUGCUGAUACAAGAAAGAGAAAUGAGUCAAAUGGUUAGUUGGCACUUUAGAUGAAUGUGAACUGGCCCUGUUCAUCAUAUCAGACACUGCCCUAGCUUAGGGAUGGGCUAGAAUAGUAGUUUAAAAAAAAGAGACAUCCAACAAUUUGGUAGAUGGCAUGUCAAAAACAUGUGCACAUACUUCGUUUGAAGUAGGAGCCAAAGAUCGGAAACUGUAGAGGGCCCUAGAGGCAGAUUUUUGCUUUACAGAUAACUUUGGUACAGAGAUGAUUAAAUAAACUGGCUGCUAUUUAUUCUAAUGAUGGCUCUGCAUAUUAAAAUAAAGUACUACUGGUUGGAAGAUGCUACAUGGAUUUCCAAAUCUGCUAUGUAUUUGUGAGCUGAAGAACUUUGAAUAAAGUCCUGUUCAGUCUUUUGUUGUCUGCUACAGAAUCCAGAUUGCAGGAUUUAAUGAACAGUGUCCUUCCAGCUGAGGAAAGCUGACUACUGCUCCAAUUUCUCAGCAGGGAGCUGGUGUUUCAUCAUGCACUAGGUAUAUUACAUUGUUGUCUAAAUAGGCAAGCCACUAUUUAGGCCAUAUGGCAGCUUUCAUCAGCUGAAGGAGGAAAGAGAAUCACAGCAAUCUAAAUGUUUUGGACAGGCAAUCUAAUCUUUUCAUUUUUUUGUUAGGUGAAAUGGACAUGAUAUUAGCAUGCUGGUGUUAUUUCUUUUUUUAUAUUCUAAAUGCAUCAAGAAAUAAUUAAACUAUUACCAAUGGGGCUUUAAUGCUUAACAGAGGAAUUUUUCUGCUCCUCAACUUUAUGGCAAUUAUCUGCAAGCCAAGGAUUUUCCCUCCCUACUAGUAAAGGACUGGAUAAAGGAUUCAGUCAUCAACUUUCCUAAUACACCGUUCACAGAACUGGAAAUACAAUUUCACACUCCUGGGUCCAUUGUAAACUUUAUCCACUAUUAUUCUUCUAGUUCAGAAGUCAGUGGGAAUUAGAUUUUCACUUAGCUAUCUCCACAACAGAAAGGGAGAGACAACGUUUUAUACGAUAAGGUUUGGUUUCUUGAAUGUUGGGCUUCAGUAUUUCUGUCUCUCUUUUUUUUUUUUAUUCCCUGCAAACCUCGAGUAGGACCUACCUUAUAAUGUCAUCAAUUUCUCACUGGGGCAUUAACUGUAAAACCAUGAAAGAUUCUGUACUUUACUUUAGGUCUUUUUGAAUAGACUACAUACUAUAGUGUCAGCCAUGAGUAUCCAGAUUACAAUCUGAAUGUAGCUAAGGCAGUCUAAAUGAGUACUGGUUUCCAUUCUCUACAAAAGUAACUAUAUAUAUAUUUGGUCUUUUUCUGGUCAGUUGCACUUUCUGGUUCUCAUGUGUGAGUCUCGUAGUACGUUCAUUGUCUGAUUUUGCUUUGUUUUUUAAAGCCAAAAAUGUUACAUUUUGGUGCCAAGAGUUAGGAACUUAAAUGUAUAAUUAGGUGUCUAAGUAAGUGACCUGUAUUUUCGGAGAUGUGGAGCAACCAUAUUUGACUUUGCUUCCAUUGUUCACAGAUUUUUUUGUUGACGCCAUGCUCAAUACCUCUCAAAACCAGGUCACUUAUUUAGAUGUCUUAGGGUUAGCUUCAAUCUUAGGCAUGCUAGCUUGAAAAUUUUGUCUUUAGAUUGUAAACUCCUCAGGCAAUGACUUUGUUUUUCUGCAUUUUGUACAAGGCUGAGCACAAAUAUUAAAAUACUACUAAUAAAUAAUAUUAAUUAUAAAUAAAAUU